GACGAACGCUGGCGGCGUGCUUAACACAUGCAAGUCGAACGGUAAGGCCCUUCGGGGUACACGAGUGGCGAACGGGUGAGUAACACGUGGGUGAUCUGCCCUGCACUUCGGGAUAAGCCUGGGAAACUGGGUCUAAUACCGGAUAGGACCACUGCCUGCAUGGGGGGUGGUGGAAAGCUUUUGCGGUGUGGGAUGGGCCCGCGGCCUAUCAGCUGGUUGGUGGGGUGAUGGCCUACCAAGGCGGCGACGGGUAGCCGGCCUGAGAGGGUGACCGGCCACACUGGGACUGAGAUACGGCCCAGACUCCUACGGGAGGCAGCAGUGGGGAAUAUUGCACAAUGGGCGCAAGCCUGAUGCAGCGACGCCGCGUGAGGGAUGACGGCCUUCGGGUUGUAAACCUCUUUCAGCACCGACGAAGCGCAAGUGACGGUAGGUGCAGAAGAAGGACCGGCCAACUACGUGCCAGCAGCCGCCGCGG
rnacentral:rRNA from 1 species